rnacentral:rRNA from 1 species
CUCUUCGGGGAUGAUUAAACCGGCGCACGGGUGAGUAACACGUGAGUGACCUGCCUUUUAGACUGGAACAACUUACCGAAAGGUGAGCUAAUGCCGGAUGAGUUAUAUAAGUGCAUGUUUAUAUAGGAAAAGUUGGGGAGACCUGACGCUGAAAGAUGGACUCGCGUCCCAUUAGCUAGUUGGUAGGGUAAUGGCCUACCAAGGCGACGAUGGGUAGCCGGCCUGAGAGGGUGGCCGGCCACACUGGGACUGAGACACGGCCCAGACUCCUACGGGAGGCAGCAGUGGGGAAUUUUGCGCAAUGCUCGUAAGAGUGACGCAGCGACGCCGCGUGAAUGACGAAGGCCUUCGGGUCGUAAAGUUCUUUCGACAGGGAAGAAAAUGCCUAUAAGUAACUGUGUAUGUAUUGACGGUACCUGUAUAAGCAGCCCCGGCUAACUCCGUGCCAGCAGCCGCGGUAAUACGGAGGGGGCGAGCGUUGUUCGGAGUGACUGGGCGUAAAGAGCACGUAGGCGGUGUUGUAAGUCAUUAGUCAAAGACUAGAGCUCAACUUUAGUAAGGCUAGUGAUACUAUAAUACUAGAGUAUCAGAGAGGAUUGCAGAAUUCCUGGUGUAGCGGUGAAAUGCGUAGAUAUCAGGAGGAAUACCGUUAGCGAAGGCGGCAAUCUGGCUGGAAACUGACGCUGAGGUGCGAAAGCGUGGGUAGCAAACAGGAUUAGAUACCCUGGUAGUCCACGCUGUAAACGAUGGAUGCUAGGUGUUGGGCUUUUAAGUUCAGUGCCGCAGCAAACGCGAUAAGC